rnacentral:rRNA from 1 species
UACAUGGGGUGCAAACGUUGUUCGGAAUUACUGGGCGUAAAGGGCUCGUAGGCGGCCAACUAAGUCGGAUGUGAAAUCCCCAGGCUUAACCUGGGAACUGCAUCCGAUACUGGAUGGCUUGAAUCCGGGAGAGGGAUGCAGAAUUCCAGGUGUAGCGGUGAAAUGCGUAGAUAUCUGGAGGAAUACCGGUGGCGAAGGCGGCAUCCUGGACCGGCAUUGACGCUGAUGAGCGAAAGCUAGGGGAGCAAACGGG